UACGGAGGGUGCGAGCGUUGUUCGGAAUUAUUGGGCGUAAAGCGCACGUAGGCGGCCCGUUAAGUCUCAUGGUGAAAGGCCGGGGCUCAACCCCGAGCAAGCCGGGGAUACUGGGGGGCUGGAGACAGGUAGAGGCCAGCGGAAUUCCGGGUGUAGCGGUGGAAUGCGUAGAGAUCCGGAAGAACACCGGAGGCGAAGGCGGCUGGCUGGACCUGAUCUGACGCUGAGGUGCGAAAGCGUGGGGAGCGAACAGG
rnacentral:rRNA from 1 species